AUGGGAACAGCACAGCCGCAUAUCCGACCUGCCGCCCGUUCGGGUGGCUUGGGAGUGCGGCGGUGC
rnacentral:ncRNA from 1 species